CUGUUGGUCGAUAACAUCUUACAGAUUGCAGCAAACUGAGGAAUGUCCGUUUAAACACCUGCAUUUAAGAAAAACGGGGCUUUGUAAAUUGUGUCUUCUCUGUUUGAAAUGUUUUCCAAAUAAACUGAUUAUGGUAACUAGCUGAAGAGAAAUGUGCGCAAAAUAUACUCAACAAAAGUAAUCAUGGACCAUUUUGGGCUUUUUUUUUAAUAUAUAUAUAUAUAUAUAUAUAUAUAUAUAUAUAUAGUACAAUAUAAGAAAAACCCACUGUGUCCACAAUUUUUGUAUGUAUCAUUGGUCCGUGUUUAGAAAUAAUCUAUGAUGAAAACUUACUAACAAUAAUUAUAACACUAGCAGAAACUGAACUAAUAGUCCUUAGUAACUUUUGUUGAGUAUAUAUUUCAAGUCUAAUCACCCUGUCAAUUGUGCCUUUGUUAGAUCAACCCCUCCUGUCCCGGAAUUGGCUAGGUUAAGAGGUUAAGUACAGGAUGGGCGUGCCUGAACCUUCACUGAACAUUGGCACUUUAAAAAACAAGAGUUCCCAUCCCAUGUUAGAUCAACUUCUGUGUGACUCUGCCUUUAAAAAAAUAAUGUUAUCAGUAAAACCCAUGGUUGUGAAUCAACAUAGAGUAAAAGAACAACGGUCGACAAGUUUACAAUCAUACAACAAAUACAACACAUUGUGUUUCUGAUCUCAUCAGCUCAGUCAUAGCCGACUGGGCCCCGUUCCACUGCAUAACUACUCUAUGCACUUAAGGUGAUCGUAGCGCUAAGAUUACUUCAUGGAACGGGGUCCAGGUGUGCAUGGUGAGAGUUAUUAUUGUUUGUGCUAUUUUAUUAUGUAGAGUAUCUUCUAUAUUCACAUUAUUUCACCAGGGUGUGUGUAAAAUAUGUGACGGGAGUGUGUUUAGCUUCUUCGGGUUUUUUCGGGGUUUUUUAAAUACUGUCGCUGUUUGUUUUUUCAAAAGAGGACUGUGAAAGGAAGUGACAUACAUUUAAGCGCACCAGUAGAUUGGUGGUUUUAGUGUUCAUUGCUGUUCCGUAAUGUUUGAUCACAGCACACCAUAGCAGGAAGCCGAUGUAUUUUUCGUGAUGGGGUGUCGUUAAAUAUUCAUUCAUUCAUUCAUACCAUAGCAGGAGCAAGAUUUAGCUCAGUCAGUGGAAUACUCGCCUUGCUUGGGUUGUGGGUUCAAAUCUCCUCAGCAGACACAUCGUGUUUUUCUAAGUAGUAUAUCAAAGUAUGUACUGUCCUGUCUUCGGGAAAGUGCAUAUAAAAGAUGCCUUGCUGCUAAUGGAAAAAUAUAGCAGGCUUCAUCUGAAGACUUAUCAUAAUGGCCGAAUGUUUGAUAUCCAAUAACCACUGAUUUAAUAUAUGUAGUAUAUCAAAGGCAAUGGUAUGUACUGUCCUGUCUGGGGAAGUGAAUAUAAAAGAUGCCUUGCUGCUAAUGGAAAAAUCUAGAAGGCUUCACCUGUCAUAAUGGCUGAAUGUUUGACAUCCAGUAACCACUGAUUUAAUAUGUACAUGUAGUAUAACAAAGGCAAUGGUAUGUACUAUCCUGUCUUUGGGAAAGUGAAUAUAAAAGAUGCCUUGCUGCUAAUGGAAAAAUAUAGCAGGCUUCACCUGUCAUAAUGGCUGAAUGUUUGACAUCCAGUAACCACUGAUUAAUAAGUCGGUGUGCUCUGACAUAACUUUUAGUUUUUAACCAGCCUCAGUGGUGUAGUGGUUAAGCCAUCGUACCUAAGGCUGGUAGGUAACGAGUUUACAUCCCAAUACCUGCUCCCAAUCAGAGUGAACAUAACGACCCAAAGGUUGAAAUGUAAGACCAUUACACCGACUUCUCUCUUAUUAACAAUCAACUGAUAACCCACAGUCUUCGACACACAUUCUACAUAGCCAUGGUGUUCUUGAAUGUUAAUUGGAUACAUGCAUGUUCAAAAUUAAAUUACAUAAAUAUAAUUUUUGUUCUUUCUCUUGCUCCAAGGGCCUGGAUACCUUUUUUUUUUCUCUUGCUCCUUUUUUUAAACACUGGUUUGGAUUGUUGAGACCUUAUUUUCUUGAUUUUGCUACAUUUUCUGCAUUACCUUCAAGCUUUAUUGUACCUUUGUAAAUCUUUGAUUUUCUGGUUAAAUAUUUCUAUUAUUUACUGUUAUUAAUAAUUUCAGUUAAAUAUUCUUUUGUAAAUUUGCCCAUUAUUAUUCAGUCUCUCCAUUCUUCUUUUUCUAACUUCUUGAUUUUAAUUCUAUUGUAUUGAUAUUUUUUAACACUCCUACAUGUACAUUCCUCCAGUUGAACUCUGUAUAUUGAUUCAUGUAAUUAGUUAUGUUAAGUGCUAGUCAUGAAUCACACCAACCUGCACAAACAUAUCCAGGGUUUUAUUUCUAAAAUUUGACUUGACACCCAUGGCUUUGACUUCAGGAAUUUUAGCGUUGUUUUAUCAAAUUUUGGGAAUUUUCAGGUUCAUUUAAAAAACAUCUUAGUAAGCCAUGCUAGAAUCGAAAAGACUAAUACUAUAUACAGGUAUAUACUUGUAUUUAUUCAAAUUAAUAUCGUCUAGUCUUAUGUAUUAUUUUCAAAAUAUGCCUUCAUAUAAUAGUAAAAAAUUAAAAUUAUUAACAUACAUUGGGAAUUUUUUACUCCAGAAUUGGAAAUAAACAACAACAUACACAAAACAAAUGUAGCUUUUGAGGAAAGGUGCUGAUUAUUGGAGUCUAGAAACAUGAGUGAUAAAACCCUGACAUCUCUUUUGUAUAUGUGGUGAUAGUCAUCAGAGGCGUAUCUUGGUGGGGCAGGGGCCCAGGUCCCCCCUAAAUUUUGUGACAGUUAUAAUUUUAUUAUAUAUUAAUUUUCUUUUCUUUUUUUACGAUCCCCCUCCAAACCUCCCUUGGCAUUCCACCAUAUGUCAUUGCCCCUCUUUUCCCCCUCCCCUCUUUUCUGGAUCCGCCACUGGUCAUCAAUAAUAAUUAAUAUUGAUAAUGGAAGGCUUGCUAGUUUGCUCAUUUACAUAUGGUGUAGGGUGCUUCCCUAGGCAUUUCAGAUCUUUGAUUUCAUGUUGACAUUAGGGGUGGGGACAAGUGGAGGGCCAUUUCAGAAAUGAUCUAUUUCUUUUAGUAUUUAUUACUCAUAAAAUAAAAUUAUCUAAUGUGAAUCCAUUGAACCAACCAGUGUCAGAUGGAUAUACUCUUAUAACAAAGCAGAAGGGACCCAGAUAGUAAGUUCGUUACAGCGGUAGUUCGUUGUACACAUUUGCACCAGUAGGUUAUUAAUGUAUAGGGAGAUAAAAUGUGACUUUACGAUCCAUUCGCUCUAUGCAGUAGUUUGUUCUAAGCAUGUUCAUUAUAAGUGUACUUUACCGGAUAUAUCUUCUCUUCUUUUUUUCUUCUUCUCUCGGUUUGGGUAUGAUGCAGUGGGGUCAACAUAGUCGUCUUGCCCUCCACUAUAUAAUUGUUUUUAUCAUUUGUGGAACCACCCACAAUUAAAAUGUACUACAGUGAAAUCCCUCUAAACCUGACCCUCAAAUUGGAAUUUUUAACCGUUCCUUUCUAAAUAAUAGUACAGCAAUCUUAGCACUAAAAUCAUCUCCUUUGCUUACGGUAAUUGCUCGUAAAACGGGUUCCAGAACCUCUCUAAACCAAAUAUCCUUUGAAACCAGACUUUAUACCUGGUUUCAUGGGUGUCCAGUUUAGAGGGGUUUCACAGUAUUUAAUAUAUUAAGAUAACCACUUGAUUUCUUCAAACCACUGUAAAUGUACAUAGUCGUACCAUUUUCCUUCUUCUUUAUAGCCAAACUCGAGACAAUAGAAAACCUAAAUGUGCUAUUUACAUUGCCACAUGGUUGUCGGAAGUGGAGGUGAGGAACAAACUUUGAACCUGGUGCCCAAAAUAUUCCCCUCCCCCUUCCAUUAAUAAGCAAAUUAAUAUUACUGGCCUCUCCACUCUUUUUGCUGACAUUUUCUGAAAAAUGUGUCGGUAGCUAAAAUUAGAAUAACACAUUAUGUCCUUUAUGUUUAUGUUAUUGUUUUAUAAUCAUGUCUAUCUAUUAAAUAAAAGUCUUUCAUUUUAACUGCAUAUGAUUAUGUUGACGUCUUCAAGCACAGAAAUCUUGUGUGACAGUAUUAAUUUAUGUUCUGUGUGUAUCUGAAGUCUGCAGAGUUGUGUAUAUUGUCAUUUCUUUCAUUUACAUGUAUUUGAUCUGGGCCCCAAUUUCACAAAACACUGUAAGCCUAGUUUUGCACGUAAACAUAAAUCUACGACAACCACAAUUCUUAUUACUGUUAUAGUACAACAAAUAUAGUUUGAAAGUACACAUUUUUCAUUUUCUUUCAUCCUUAACUGUUAAUAACAUGCUCCACCUUUUGUACUGAUGUAAUUUUCAAUAUCAAAUAAGGUGUCAAACAUAUGUAAACAUAUGUCCAGUAUAACUGUGAGUCGUAGACAUAAACUUACAAUGUUUUGUGAAAUUGGCCCCGGGAGUAGUUUAAAGUGCUAAAUGUACAUAAUGUUUAAUUUAAUGAGAAACAAAAGGACUGUCACAUACAUGUGUGUGUAGUUGUAGAUCACCAAAUGGCUCUGUGUUUGUGAUCUGUGUUGGUCAAAUAAAGAAUUGCAUCGAUGUUACAAUAAACGAUAACCAUUUGAUAAAACAACAGAUCAACAUUUGUGUUCAAUUCUUCUGUAAUAGCCAAGUGUCAUUUUAAUAAUCAUAUGUAUACAUAUGUUGGCGAAAUGUCUCACAGGUUUACUUGUGUGGAAAUUAUUUUUAUGCCUGAUUGAAGUCACAAAUUACUAAUGUCCAAUUAUGUUCUGAAAUGCUCUGCUUUCCUUGUUACAUAUAUAUUACUUAAUGGUAUAUAAUAUACUCAGAUAUUUUUCACAGGGAGGAUUAAAGACAACAUUCACCAUCACAUGGUUUUAGUGUUUUUAAAUGUAACAGGAUUUCAACAUUAAUCAGGGGACAAUAUUUCAAAAUGUUAGGUUAACCCAGGCAUGUGUGCAGGAAUUUUUUUUCUUUCUAAAUGAGAUCUACCAGUCUUUCAUAGUUUGUUUCAGGCAGAUCAGUUCACUUGAAAUUAGAUCUUACUGGCCUCAGGUUGUCAGUAGAUCGAAGUUAAGCUGAAGAAUUCAUCAAAGGAAUGUAAUUCAAAACACCUUUCUACAUUUUUUCUUUUUUUUUAGGGGUUAGGUCAUUCACACUCACAAUGUACCUACAUUUUAACAAGUGUUGACGAUACAAAUGGCUCCUUGCAGAAACAAAUUUGUGUAUAUGCUUUGUGUUUGUUUUGUUAUUUGGAAGGGUUUUUUGUUGUUUUUCUUAAUGAUUCACAUAUUUUAUUUUGUGUUUUGUGGAGUUUUUAAUUUUUUUAAUUUUCUUUAUUAAUUUUUUUUUUUAAUUCGCUCCCCACCCCAUCGUAAAGUUACAAGUACAUGUAUGUCACAUGUUGAGAAGCAAAAAAAAAAAAAGGGUUGUAGUAGAUGUUGCAAUGUGUGCAUCAGGGAUAUUAAUAUUUAUAAAAUGGACUUAACUGCAACAUUUGAGGAAAAAGAAUUCACUAGCCAUCAGGCAUGGCAAUAGUAGUUAUUUACUAGCCCAACACUGAAUAUCACUAGCCAUGGGAGUGGGGCUACCAUAAUCUAGAAGCCCUGGUAUACAUGUAUACUUAAAAUUAAAAUGUAAAAACUACAAUUAUUAUGGUAUAAAUUACCAUAACAUUUAUAAACUAAAUUCCUGUCGAGCUAGAAGAUGGGUUAAGUACAAGAAUUAACUACAGAUGUUUUUUUUGACAUAAGGAAUAUAAUAUAUAAUUUUGCUGUUUUUUAAUUCUAUUUUCAAUACCAAUAUUCCAAGUAACGUUUAUUUUUAAACCUAUAUUGCUAAACAGGUUUAUUUUGUCCAAAAAACAUUACCUUCUCAUUUUCUACAACUAUUUGUUCAUGAUCAGGGUACUGUUUUACAAAGCGAUCAUAGCACUAAAAUCACUUGGGAGCAUAAGGUAAUCAUACACUGAAUGUGAUCUUAGCACUGAAUGUGAUCUUAGCACUAAGAUCACUUCAUAAAAUGGGGCCAUGUACUUCAUAAAUACAUGUACAUGUCUACUCUAACAAAAUUUAUUAUUAUUAACUACAUUUUAAAUUGCAACUGCAGUGAGAUGUCAGUUUUGUUCAAUUUAUUUUCAACCAUCAUUUUGACUUUUUUGUUUCCUUCUGGGUUUUUUAAACACAAGCAUGUGUGUAUUACCGUAUAUAUUAUUGAUAUUGUUUAAACAAGCUGAAACAAAGUUAAGUUGCUUAAUGUUUUGUGUAGGAUAUAUUUUGAAAAUUUUCCUCUUUUUUUUUUAUGACCCACUAUCUCUCCCUUUAUCCAGAGUAAUGCUCAGCUUGUUUAUUUAUUUACUUUUAUGUAUACAUGUGUAAAUAUUGAUUGCCAAGUAUAUAUGUGAUAUUAACUAUAAUUUGCUUGUGAAUGCAAAAACAUAAUAAAUUAACAUCUGCAA